rnacentral:rRNA from 1 species
ACUCCUACGGGAGGCAGCAGUGGGGAAUUUUGGACAAUGGGCGAAAGCCUGAUCCAGCCAUGCCGCGUGCAGGAUGAAGGCCUUCGGGUUGUAAACUGCUUUUGUACGGAACGAAACGGCCUUUUCUAAUAAAGAGGGCUAAUGACGGUACCGUAAGAAUAAGCACCGGCUAACUACGUGCCAGCAGCCGCGGUAAUACGUAGGGUGCAAGCGUUAAUCGGAAUUACUGGGCGUAAAGCGUGCGCAGGCGGUUAUGUAAGACAGUUGUGAAAUCCCCGGGCUCAACCUGGGAACUGCAUCUGUGACUGCAUAGCUAGAGUACGGUAGAGGGGGAUGGAAUUCCGCGUGUAGCAGUGAAAUGCGUAGAUAUGCGGAGGAACACCGAUGGCGAAGGCAAUCCCCUGGACCUGUACUGACGCUCAUGCACGAAAGCGUGGGGAGCAAACAGGAUUAGAAACCCUUGUAGUCCC